CACAAGCGGCGGAGCAUGUGGUUUAAUUCGAAGCAACGCGAAGAACCUUACCAGGCCUUGACAUGCAGAGAACUUUCCAGAGAUGGAUUGGUGCCUUCGGGAACUCUGACACAGGUGCUGCAUGGCUGUCGUCAGCUCGUGUCGUGAGAUGUUGGGUUAAGUCCGUAACGAGCGCAACCCUUGUCCUUAGUUACCAGCACGUUAUGGUGGGCACUCUAAGGAGACUGCCGGUGACAAACCGGAGGAAGGUGGGGAUGACGUCAAGUCAUCGUGGCCCUUACGGCCUGGGCUACACACGUGCUACAAUGGUCGGUACAAAGGGUUGCCAAGCCGCGAGGUGGAGCUAAUCCCAUAAAACCGAUCGUAGUCCGGAUCGCAGUCUGCAACUCGACUGCGUGAAGUCGGAAUCGCUAGUAAUCGUGAAUCAGAAUGUCACGGUGAAUACGUUCCCGGGCCUU
rnacentral:rRNA from 1 species